rnacentral:rRNA from 1 species
AUUGAACGUUGGCGGCAUGCCUUACACAUGCAAGUCGAACGGUAACAGGUCUUCGGAUGCUGACGAGUGGCGAACGGGUGAGUAAUUCAUCGGAACGUGCCCGAGAGUGGGGGAUAACGAGGCGAAAGCUUUGCUAAUACCGCAUACGAUCUCAGGAUGAAAGCAGGGGACCGCAAGGCCUUGCGCUCACGGAGCGGCCGAUGGCAGAUUAGGUAGUUGGUGGGAUAAAAGCUUACCAAGCCGACGAUCUGUAGCUGGUCUGAGAGGACGACCAGCCACACUGGGACUGAGACACGGCCCAGACUCCUACGGGAGGCAGCAGUGGGGAAUUUUGGACAAUGGGCGCAAGCCUGAUCCAGCCAUGCCGCGUGCAGGAUGAAGGCCUUCGGGUUGUAAACUGCUUUUGUACGGAACGAAAGGACUCUGGUUAAUACCUGGGGUCCAUGACGGUACCGUAAGAAUAAGCACCGGCUAACUACGUGCCAGCCGCCGCGGUAACAC